ACAGGAAUCGGCUGGCGGACAGCCUCAACAUGGGAGUUAUGGAUUGGUUUGAUCCAAUUGCUGAUUCGACUACUAGCCAUCUCGAUCUGAUUCCCCACAUGGUUUAGGGGAGAAGUUUAAAACAACAGGACUAUGGAAGGAUAUACGGUGCUACAUUGACAGUCAACUCUACGGUUUGUAGGUUGAAGUUUGCUUAACACGCUUCAACCGUCGAAC